CUAUAUUCCGAAGCGUCGGCGCAAGCCGACUAUGGUGAUAAACGGCCGUUGCAAUAAGCCAUUCGGACCCGGGGGCAGUACCCGGCGCCUCCACCAAAGCCCAGAAGCGUUCCAAGGUCUGGGUUUUGGCGGGGGCGAAAUAGGAUCGACGAGGGUGUAAAGAGCGCGCUUUUGCCCGGCAUGGUAUCCGCCGAUAUCGGGCCAUUCGCAUAGUUGCCAAUGACAACUACGCUCCGGUUGCUCAGGCUGCGUAACGCAGUUUGAAAUACCGAAAUUAAGCCCUAACGCUUAGCCGCGUUAGGCGGGGUUCGGAGGCACCUGGCAACAGAAGCCUCCACUUUCAUC
rnacentral:tmRNA from 1 species